rnacentral:rRNA from 1 species
CCCUUAGAUGUUCUGGGCCGCACGCGCGCUACACUGAUGCAUUCAACGAGUUUCUUCCUGGUCCGAGAGGAAUGGGUAACCUUUUGAAAGUGCAUCGUGAUAGGGAUAGACUAUUGCAAUUAUUGGUCUUCAACGAGGAAUUCCUAGUAGACGUAGUUCAUCAGACUGCAUCGAUUACGUCCCUGCCCUUUGUACACACCGCCCGUCGCUCCUACCGAUUGAAUGCUCAGGUGAGCCAUUCGGACUUUCAUCAUGCUGGUUUCCGGUUUUGAUGAAGGAAAGUCUUGCGAACCUUAUCAUUUAGAGGAAGGAGAAGUCGUAACA